ensembl:lncRNA
CAAGCAGUGACAUCCGUAUGACUACAAAUUAGAGGGUGGGACAAGGUUUUGAAUUAAAGUAACAGAAGCUUUUUGAAUGGAAACAACAACAACAACAACAACAGCAACAAAAAGAAUUUCAGGGCCCCGUGAAAACUGAACAAAAGUACUUAGCAAUAUAGGAAAGAAACAGCUUACAUAAAGAGAAGAAUGAAGCUAACUGGAGAAGAGGAACAGAAUGGAAAGCUGGCAAUUUCACAAAAAGCACUACAGAGUUAAUCCAUGUGGUCACAGCAGAAAUCGAAGCACACCUCCAAGAACUGACAAGGGGACGCCUGAGAGUUGAUGUGGAACUCCCUCUUGGAAUCAAUUAGGUGCCACAGUCCAGCACCAUGAGAUGCCAUGGGUCUUCACAGCAUGAUAUUUAUGGCAUAUGAGGUUCGCAAAAUUCUCCAGCCACUGUCACUGAGCCUCUUGGGCUCUAUCUUCCUCUAGUCUAAAACAGUUCCUUAACCCAUCACAGUUGGCUCGGAGGGAUGGAUGCUUCUUGUGGUAAGGUAUACAUUAUGCUUAUCAAUGUUCCUGGUUUCUACUUGUCAAACACCGGCAUAUUCUAUCAGUUUUGACAGUCUCCAGACAGAGCCAGAUAUUUCCCACAGUAGCUGAACAGACAAAAUACCUUAUAGCUUACACCCAGUAAAUAAAAAUAAUUAGUUUAUAAUAGCUUUACAUUCUAAAACUUUGUGAGAAGAGCAUCUAUGAUACUUUUUUUAGAAUAUAUUUUAUUUACCUUUUAACAAUUCCACACAUGCAUAAUAAAAUGUUUUGACCACAUUCACCCUCCUAGCACCUACUCUCACCCUGCUCUUGGUCUUGCCCAACCCAAUAGCCAAUUCAUAACGGACUUAAAAAAAAUCUUAAUUCAUGACAGUUAAGAUAUUAAAAAAAAAAAGGAGAAAAAAACCAAGUUGUUUUUACGGACUUGUGAGUGGAACUAAAGAACUAAAGACAAAGACAUUGACCAUUACCCAAGCAUUUAGCCCCAAAUAUCUACUGAAAACAAAAAUUGAGGAGUAACAAGAGAGAGAAUUUGCUCACAAUAUAGUACACAAAACACCUCUAGUGGUGUGUCUCAUCUCGUGUAGGUGGAAAAUAUCAGGUAGCAUGAUUAGCUUGAGCUUACAGAACAGUGGACUUCCAGCUUAGGAACAACUCACCAAGGAGCACACCAUCAGGGAAUGGGGAGCACGAACCUGAAGUAUAAUGUGCUUUUCUUCAAAGGAUUGCUGGCCUUGCUUUGUACUACUUUCUCUGGGACAUUAGGACAGGAUGUCAUUUCAACUUUAAAUAUAAAUGGAUUCAUCACUUGUCUCUCAGUAGCAGUGGUGAGGAUAUUCACUAACUUUGUCUUUCACAUGAAGCAAAUUAGAGCAGACUAGAAAUAUGCUGCUGGAUGAAGUUCACACACUUGGUGGAAAGCUGAGACUCAGCUCAGGCAAAGAUUCCACUUGUGACACUUUGUUAUCUUUAACACAGAAAAACUUCCUUCCAGUCCUUACUAUCCUAUAAGAAUUGAGUUUAUUCCAUAUUUGGCAGUGUGUUUUAGAUGUUCAAGGUGUCACAAACUUCUUUUUUAUAAAGACAUUGGCACAAUCAAAUAAAAAUAACACCAGUGUCAUAGUUAUGACAUUUAAGAGAUUCUUUGUGUAUCUCAGUACAGAAAACAAUGUCUGACCUUCAUUUUUCCCAUGCUGUAAAAGAGUAAGACAUUGGAAAUACCAUCACAGGCAAGAAGUGCUGUCCACAGUGUGACUACAGCCACUCAUUUAUACUUACCACGCAGUCCCUCUGUGGUAGACUGGAGGGCAUCCACUAGGAAGACCCAUGAAGAAGCCAGAUCCCUACCUACUUCAAACCAUAGAAUUAAGAGAAACGAUCACUAAGGCUUAUGAAAAAAGAGCAAAGACAUACAGAUGAGAGCAAAGGUCUCUAACUUGAGCAAAGUUUUCCCAGGAAGAGUUCUAAAGAAAGGCUCUGGUAUGACUACAGUGUUUGACAGAUAUGAACAGACAAAUAUAGGGUAUGAAAGUAGACAGAGAGUUCACGGAGAUAUUGCUCUUUGGUAGAGAGGUUAGACGAGGCUAGAAAAAUAGAUCAGAGUGAGAGACUUGAACUUCACGUCAAUAAAUCUAGGGUAUUUUAUGGUAGAAGGGAUGAGGUAUAUAUCAGAAACAUUGGAGAAAUGUAAGCAAAAGAAAAAUCCUUAUGCUUUAGAAGAACUGCUAUUCACUUCUAGGAAAAUAGUUUUGACUUAGUUUGGUCAUUGUAUUUCUCUUCCUGAAGUGCCUAUGUGUCCAACAAAUAUAAUAUACUAAUACCAAGCAACUACCUAUAAGAACCAAUAUUCCUACCGUCUCCCUACCGUGGGACUAAUGAGAGUCCUCUAUAGGAAUCUUCCCUGACAAUCUCUAGGAGAUUAGCUAGUUUGUCCUUGUUUUCUUUUCCAUAGAGAAAAAAGUCUUUAAGAGCCUAUGAAGUCUUGCUGCAUAAAUAAGCAAUUCUGACACCUUUAAUAUUUUGUCUGUGCAAAGCAAUUUGUAAACAGGAUCUCUCAAAACAUUAACAAACAUGCAUUUUAAAACCCUAUCUUCCAUGUAGUAAAAACGCAAAGCACUAAAGAAAGGAAUUGAACUUGCUUUGGCCUCCAAGUCAUGAACAGAGCCUGGAACUGACAUCUCUGUCUAUCUUGAGGGUCCACACUGGGCAGGGCAUUUCAAUAACAAUGUUGAAGAUUUUGAAAGAGAUAGUUUAAUGCUUUGGUCUUUAUGCUCUCAGGGGUAGUUAAGUAACAGAAUCAGAUCAAUUUCCUUUCAUACAUGGCUAGAACCAUGAGAAAGGAAUUUAGGGAAUCCGCAGAAAUUUAUGAAGCCAACCCACAAUAUGAACUAUAGAACAAGAAGAACCUCUAUGGAUAUCUGUGACUGUGCUCCACUUUACAUCAACCACCAGAUAGAAGGCAAGGUCACACCAGCACACUCUUGGUUCCUAAUAG